CACCGUUUAUGUCUUUGUUAGCUAAAGACUCCAAGAGAGACUUUGCAGCUUCUUCUUCAUGUCCGAUCUCGGCUAUUGUCUGAUUCUCCUCAUGUCCAAUCCGAUCUGUAGUGUUGUUCUGUCUAAUAUCCCCCCCUCAAACUCUGUGUGGGUGGAACAUCAACACCGAGUUUGUAUCGGAGAGAACAGAAGGGUCCUGCUGGUAAGGACUUCGUGAAGAUGUCAGCAACCUGUUGGUGACUUGGUAUGUGCUUCACAAUCAAGGCCCCGAGAGCUACUCUUUCGCGGACAUAGUGAUAAUGAAGCUGAAAGUGCUUACUUCGCUUGUGAAAGGCGGGAUUUGCAGCAAGAUAGACGGCGGACAAAUUGUCACAGUAGAUCUCUGGAGUUUCAAGAAGUGGUAUUCCUAAUUCCUUGAGAACAGAGCCCAACAAGGUUAUAUCCGAGGCGGUGUCAGAUAAGGUUUGAUACUCAGCCUCUGUAGAUCUCUUCAACAUCGACUGUUGUUUUUGAGAGGACCAAGAGAUGAUAUUACUGCCCAGGAAGGUACAAUAGCCUCCAGUAGAUCUGCGUGUUCCUUGACAACCUCCGUAAUCACUGUCGUAGUUAAAGUCAGAGACUGUUGGCGCAUGCAUUUUCUGACACACAUAGUGGACAGAAAACUAAAUAUCUGGUCUUGUCAAGGGACCAUAUGCAACUGUAAAGGCAUAGGAGUCGGCAUUGGAGCACAAUCACUCAUUGCAGCUACAGCAAGGAGAUCUUCUGCGUAUUUUUGUUGUGAGAGGAAUAGUCCAUCAAAGUGAAACUGUACUUGUAUACCCAAAAAAAUUGUUUCCAAUGAUGAGCAUGUCAUCCACAUAGAGAAGUAGCAGAAUGAUAUUCUUGUUCUUGAUGUACACAAACAAAGAAGGAUCAGGUUUGCUGCACCAAAACCAAACUGAAUAAGGCUGCAUCAUAUACACCGUUUCAGUAAGAUCUCCAUGGAGAAAGGUGUUCUUGACGUCCAUUUGUUUGAUGUCCCAGUCCAUGAUAGUGGCAAGAUGAAGAACUGAUCUCACAGUUGGAGUUCUCACCACUGGAUUGUAUGUUUCCAGGUACCAAUGUCCAGGUGUGAGCUUUAGUGCAAUUCUCCAUCUAUUCUCCCAUUGCACCAGUCCAUCCUGGAUCUUUUAAUGCUGUAGUGACUGUUUUGGGUUCAGGGAUGUGUUGGUUGUGAAGACUGAGAAGGCUGACUCUGAUCUGUAGUGGAUUGUAGUUGCACUGUAGGAGGCUGAAAAACUGACUCUGAUGGGGCUCUAGAAGUAUUUGUUCUUUGAGAAGCAGAAGUAGAGUUGUUGCCUAUAGGAAUAGGGUCAAAGCCUGUCGUACACCUAGUACUCUCUUCUGUUCUCAUUGAACUCAUACCAGGAGACAACUGAAGAACUACUGCUUUAAGUUGUGCAGCAGUGGUUAUAGAUAAAGAUAGGCAACAGUUGCAAAGGGAAAUGUCGACUCAUCAAAGAUAACAUGACGGCUGAUAUACACUCUCCCUGUUAUUGGAACUAGACCAUUCUGUUGAGGUGUGUAGGGGCAUGACAUAAGUUGUUGUAUGCCAUGUUUCUGUAGGAAAUAUUGAAGCAAAAUCUGAUUUCAUCUUGAGAGGAUAUAACCAACUGAAGCGAGAGUAAUUGUCAAUGAGAACGACAUAAUAACGAAAUCCUUGAACUGACAUUAUUGGUGAAGGACCCCAAAGAUCACAAUGGAUUCUUUCUAAAGGUCUAGCAGCUACAAAGGAAGAAGCAGAAAAAGACAGUUGUUGAAGAAUCUGAGCAUGUGGAUGUCCAAGUCUUCUAUGCCAGACAGCAUCACUUGCAGCUUGUUGUCUUGAGAAGUAGUAGACUUGUAAAGUAAUGCGAACAGUAUCACAGUCAAAUUCAACACAGCAGGGAUAGUUUGAUGUGAGCUUAGAAACAGAAAUCAAGGAUUUUGCAAUGUCAGGGCAAACAAGAACAUUAGUUAAAGGAAGAGUACCUGAGGUUUAUGGUAGACUGGUGGAACCAGUAUGUGUGAUUGGAAGAAACUCCCCAUUGCCUACCAUUACUGCAUCAGAUCCUGAGUAUGGCUGUGACUGCUGAAGUCUGUUGGCUGAGUUUGUCACAUGAGCUGUUGCUGCAGAGUCUGUGAACCAGUCAUGACUAGGAGAUUCAGUAACCUCUGUAAUCCUCAGAGCAGCUAGAGCGCUUGGAAGUUCUUCAUAUUGAUAGCUGUUGUUGAACCGAUGCCAGCAUUUUAGAGUAGGAUGGCCUGGUUUACCACAUAUCUGGCAUGUAAUCUUGUCACCAAUGUAAGAGCCUGAAGCAUAGAGCCUUGAGAGAUUUGUUGGUGAAAUCUGCGUCCUUUUGUAGAGUAAGAACCACUGCCUCGACCUCUGUUGUUACCAGACCUACCAUUGCCACAACCUCUACUGCUAUAGUAGUGUGACCCAUUUGAGGUGGUGAUAUUGAAAGCCAAGGGUGGAGAAACUUCACUACCCACAUUGUAACUAGCAAGCCUAUCAGCAAAUCCAGUCAAUCUAGGUAUGAUAGACUCAAAGGUAGGUGGAGGCUGUAAAUCCAUAGAUCCUUCUAUAGAGGUUUUUAUUGGUUCAUAAUCCCUACCUAGACCAUGUAGAGCAGCAAAAAUCUUCAUUUUCUCACUAACUGGACUACCAAUAGAAUUCAAAGAGACGUGAAGAGGAUACCUUGUUGAAAUACUGAGCCAAGGCAGUCCAAACUUCUUGAGCAGUAGUGGUAUGAACAAUUUCUCGAAGGAUAUCUUCAGAUAAUGACCCGAGCAACCAAGCUCUCACCACCUGAUCUGACCGCAUCCACUGUUGAUAAGCAAGAUUCUGAGCUACUUUAGUAAGACCAUCGAUAUGUGUGAGAGUGUUGAUAGCUACAGGAGGUUGAAUGGCUCCAUUGACAAACCCUAGAAGGUUUUGUCCAGAAAGAAAUUAAAGGACUCAAAUUGUGUCUUCCAAAGAAGGUAAUUUCUCUCAGUAAGUGGAACAGUAACACAAUUGGAAAUGUGAAUGACAUGAUGUGAAUAGAGCUGGAAAUUGAGGAAUCCAUGGCUCUGAUACCAUGAAAGUAGGAGUGCUCAAAGGCUAAAUGUGAAGAAGAUAAGUUUCAUUUCCUUUUAUUUCUCCUUAAGGUUUUAAGGUUACAUCAUGUUUUCCUUAUAUAGAAGGACACUAUGUCAGAGACACUAGGGUUUACACUGACAUGUGUCAGGUCUCAAUUGAUCCAAGACAGUCAAACCGGUUUCUUAAAACCACUGGAUGUUUACCACCACAGCUCUCUGUUUUAUUUGCUUGAUCUGAUCUUUUGGCUUUGUCUUCUUUUGCAGGUGGAGAUGACCGUUGGAGGUGUGAGUUGUCUUGGGCUGAUUCCUUAUUCGGCUUCACUUGUGUCUGGCCCAUUUGCAUAAUGUCGUCUGCUCAUGUUGGGCCAACGACACCGUUUCUGUCUCUGUUAGCUGAAGACUCCAAGAGAGACUUUGCAGCUUCUUCUUCAUGUCCGAUCUCGGCUAUUGUCUGAUUCUCCUCAUGUCCAAUCCGAUAUGUAGUGUUGUUCUGUCUAAUAUAGUGGAAGGCACUUGUAUCUCUUUGGAAACAAGAUAGACCUAAAUUGCGUGUCUAGAGGAGGAGCACACUAAUGAUGUUCUCGCAGAGUGUUACGGUCUCUAUCCCAAACAUGAUGCUUCACCAUGCAUAGGAUGGACUUGUAUGAUGAAACUCUCCACUCUAAAGAGACAUUAUGGUUCUUGAAAAAAUCUCCAUGUCUAUUUUGCUAGUAGUAGAGUUAAUUCUUUGGCAAUGUUGUGAGAAUUUCUAGAAUUCUGAAUGCUUAAUGCUUGCUUGUAUUGAAAACUUGAUCUAUCAAAAUAUAAAGUUUAUAAUGUGGAAAGUUAUUUAUUGGUA